rnacentral:rRNA from 1 species
UACGGAGGGGGCAAGCGUUGUUCGGAAUUACUGGGCGUAAAGGGCUCGUAGGCGGCCAACUAAGUCAUACGUGAAAUCCCUCGGCUUAACCGGGGAACUGCGUCUGAUACUGGAUGGCUUGAGUUCGGGAGAGGGAUGCGGAAUUCCAGGUGUAGCGGUGAAAUGCGUAGAUAUCUGGAGGAACACCGGUGGCGAAGGCG